CUGUGAGCUCGAUGAGUAGGGCGGGACACGUGGUAUCCUGUCUGAAUAUGGGGGGACCAUCCUCCAAGGCUAAAUACUCCUGACUGACCGAUAGUGAACCAGUACCGUGAGGGAAAGGCGAAAAGAACCCCGGCGAGGGGAGUGAAAAAGAACCUGAAACCGUGUACGUACAAGCAGUGGGAGCACGCUUAGGCGUGUGACUGCGUACCUUUUGUAUAAUGGGUCAGCGACUUAUAUUCUGUAGCAAGGUUAACCGAAUAGGGGAGCCGAAGGGAAACCGAGUCUUAACUGGGCGUUAAGUUGCAGGGUAUAGACCCGAAACCCGGUGAUCUAGCCAUGGGCAGGUUGAAGGUUGGGUAACACUAACUGGAGGACCGAACCGACUAAUGUUGAAAAAUUAGCGGAUGACUUGUGGCUGGGGGUGAAAGGCCAAUCAAACCGGGAGAUAGCUGGUUCUCCCCGAAAGCUAUUUAGGUAGCGCCUCGUGAAUUCAUCUCCGGGGGUAGAGCACUGUUUCGGCAAGGGGGUCAUCCCGACUUACCAACCCGAUGCAAACUGCGAAUACCGGAGAAUGUUAUCACGGGAGACACACGGCGGGUGCUAACGUCCGUCGUGAAGAGGGAAACAACCCAGACCGCCAGCUAAGGUCCCAAAGUCAUGGUUAAGUGGGAAACGAUGUGGGAAGGCCCAGACAGCCAGGAUGUUGGCUUAGAAGCAGCCAUCAUUUAAAGAAAGCGUAAUAGCUCACUGGUCGAGUCGGCCUGCGCGGAAGAUGUAACGGGGCUAAACCAUGCACCGAAGCUGCGGCAGCGACGCUGAUGCGUUGUUGGGUAGGGGAGCGUUCUGUAAGCCUGCGAAGGUGUGCUGUGAGGCAUGCUGGAGGUAUCAGAAGUGCGAAUGCUGACAUAAGUAACGAUAAAGCGGGUGAAAAGCCCGCUCGCCGGAAGACCAAGGGUUCCUGUCCAACGUUAAUCGGGGCAGGGUGAGUCGACCCCUAAGGCGAGGCCGAAAGGCGUAGUCGAUGGGAAACAGGUUAAUAUUCCUGUACUUGGUGUUACUGCGAAGGGGGGACGGAGAAGGCUAUGUUGGCCGGGCGACGGUUGUCCCGGUUUAAGCGUGUAGGCUGGUUUUCCAGGCAAAUCCGGAAAAUCAAGGCUGAGGCGUGAUGACGAGGCACUACGGUGCUGAAGCAACAAAUGCCCUGCUUCCAGGAAAAGCCUCUAAGCAUCAGGUAACAUCAAAUCGUACCCCAAACCGACACAGGUGGUCAGGUAGAGAAUACCAAGGCGCUUGAGAGAACUCGGGUGAAGGAACUAGGCAAAAUGGUGCCGUAACUUCGGGAGAAGGCACGCUGAUAUGUAGGUGAAGUCCCUCGCGGAUGGAGCUGAAAUCAGUCGAAGAUACCAGCUGGCUGCAACUGUUUAUUAAAAACACAGCACUGUGCAAACACGAAAGUGGACGUAUACGGUGUGACGCCUGCCCGGUGCCGGAAGGUUAAUUGAUGGGGUCAGCGCAAGCGAAGCUCUUGAUCGAAGCCCCGGUAAACGGCGGCCGUAACUAUAACGGUCCUAAGGUAGCGAAAUUCCUUGUCGGGUAAGUUCCGACCUGCACGAAUGGCGUAAUGAUGGCCAGGCUGUCUCCACCCGAGACUCAGUGAAAUUGAACUCGCUGUGAAGAUGCAGUGUACCCGCGGCAAGACGGAAAGACCCCGUGAACCUUUACUAUAGCUUGACACUGAACAUUGAGCAUUGAUGUGUAGGAUAGGUGGGAGGCUUUGAAGUGUGGACGCCAGUCUGCAUGGAGCCGACCUUGAAAUACCACCCUUUAAUGUUUGAUGUUCUAACGUUGACCCGUAAUCCGGGUUGCGGACAGUGUCUGGUGGGUAGUUUGACUGGGGCGGUCUCCUCCUAAAGAGUAACGGAGGAGCACGAAGGUUGGCUAAUCCUGGUCGGACAUCAGGAGGUUAGUGCAAUGGCAUAAGCCAGCUUGACUGCGAGCGUGACGGCGCGAGCAGGUGCGAAAGCAGGUCAUAGUGAUCCGGUGGUUCUGAAUGGAAGGGCCAUCGCUCAACGGAUAAAAGGUACUCCGGGGAUAACAGGCUGAUACCGCCCAAGAGUUCAUAUCGACGGCGGUGUUUGGCACCUCGAUGUCGGCUCAUCACAUCCUGGGGCUGAAGUAGGUCCCAAGGGUAUGGCUGUUCGCCAUUUAAAGUGGUACGCGAGCUGGGUUUAGAACGUCGUGAGACAGUUCGGUCCCUAUCUGCCGUGGGCGCUGGAGAACUGAGGGGGGCUGCUCCUAGUACGAGAGGACCGGAGUGGACGCAUCACUGGUGUUCGGGUUGUCAUGCCAAUGGCACUGCCCGGUAGCUAAAUGCGGAAGAGAUAAGUGCUGAAAGCAUCUAAGCACGAAACUUGCCCCGAGAUGAGUUCUCCCUGACUCCUUGAGAGUCCUGAAGGAACGUUGAAGACGACGACGUUGAUAGGCCGGGUGUGUAAGCGCAGCGAUGCGUUGAGCUAACCGGUACUAAUGAACCGUGAGGCUUAACCUUACAACGCCGAAG
rnacentral:rRNA from 1 species